AUAAUAAUAAUAAUAAUAAUAAUAAUUUUUUUUAAAAAAAUCCAGUCCCACAGGAUAUUUCUAUCAUGUUAUUUUUAGGUUUCCCAAAAUACUGAGGGUGCUUUAUUAACCUGGUAGGCUUAUUUGUGUCUUUUAUUUAUUAGAAGGUUUUCAAUUAAUGCCAAUUAUUUGCCAAUAAGGAAUGGCUUAAGUCUUAGACCAGGCCUGUCAAACUGGCGGCACACGAGCCAGAUACAUCACAGGCAGGUCACGCCCACCCGGGCUACACAAAGGCAAAAAACAUAGCAAUACAUCACAAUUCAGCCCUUGACGUGAUCAAGUUUGACACUCGUGCCUUAGAGAUAUGAGAUAUGGACUGCAAACAUCCAGACAACCAGUAGAUGGCAGCCAAGGUCAGAGUUUAUAGUAUCUUUUUACUGCCUUUAGGGAAAUUCAGAUCAAAUCUAGUAGUUCUACUUCAAUCUAAAUAUUGAAGUUCAGUGCUGCAGCAUAAAAUUGCUGGAGUAGAAAUUACCAUUUAGGAACAGAUGGUUUGUUGAUGAGAAUGAAUGAGGAUUACGCAAAGUCAUUAAAAGUUGUACUUCUUAUUAUGGAAGCAUGCCCAUGUGGAACAGAUCUGGCUUGAAUGGAAGUAGUAAUAAUUCCCCCUUAGGCUUUUUAAAGUGACCCCCAUUUCCACUGUAUAGCAACAAUCUUGUUUAAUGGUAACUUAUUUCACCAAUCAUAAACUGUUUCUGGAAGCGUGCGUAGGUCUCAUUUUUCUCAUUCAGAAAUUAUAUGCAUGGCAAUUAUCAUUGGCAAAAUCUUUAAUGAAAAUAUCAAAUUGUUUUGUUUCCAGAUCAGUUCCACCUGACCCACUGAUGAUUGAACAUUGGCAACUGCAGGAAAGGUUAUAACAGUCAAGAUGACAGCUACAACUGCACAAAUUCCCUGUUUUUAUCCAUGACUGCAACAUAUUAUAUCAUGUAAAAAAGGGUAGGGCUUUGAUCAGGGAUGGGAUUCUGCCGGUUCAGACUGGUUCGGGUGAACUGGUAGCCCCGACGAUCAGCUGGGAGCAAACCAGUUCGCUCCAACAAUGAGGUGGGGCCACUCCCCCCUGCGCUGUAUUGACCUAUAUCUUCUCAGCUCAUUCGCGUGGGAGAGCGGAUUGCUGCGCCUCAGCUGGGUUACUCCCCAUCAGUAAUGCGGAAGAGAGAAGUUUCAUCUUCCAUAUCUGUGUCCCUCUUUGGACCUGCUGAGUUUAUUGGGAGGCAUUGGCUGAUUAAAUCAGGUGGAGGCUCUGCGCGCUCCAUUAAACUGCCUGCCCCACAGUCUCCGGGAAGAAAGAACAGCCGUUGGGCUUGAGUCACCAUCAAGGCUGGAAGAAACCAGUUUUUGUUACCUGAGAGAGAAAAUCUAAAUGAAGCAUCCCACAUUAUGGAAAAUGAGAAGAUCAACUGCCUGACAUGGAAGACAAAUUGAUACCUCACACUUCACUUAAAGGAGCUGAUUGAACUCACAGCUGAAUUAUUUCAGUGCUGGUGAUAGGAAAGCAUCCUUAAUCAUAAGUGGAAACAGGCAUAAGGUAGGUUCAUGGCACAUACCGCUCUUGCUGCUAACAUCACUGCCCUGCACCUCCCCAGCCUCUAAAUUCCCAGCAAAGGUUGUAACACUAUGUGUUGUGUGGCCAGGGCAAUCUUGAUUUCCUGAGAUUUAUGAAUUACACUUCUGCACAAAUCACCACCCCCGUUAUUAUUAUUAUAUUAGUCCAAGUUGCCAAAGUAAGCCUAGAUUCUUCAACCGCUAUUGUAAUAACUGGAAAGCAUUUUUACAACAUCCACUUCCCAGUCUCUCAUUAAAUAACCUUUGUUAUGUGAGCUACCCCUAAGCUUUUCUUUUCUUUUUAUUUAUUUCCUUCCUUCUUUCUUUCCUC